AUCCAGCUUACUAGUCCCAAAUAGGACGAAAUACACAUCCUGGAU
rnacentral:hammerhead_ribozyme from 1 species